rnacentral:rRNA from 1 species
AUUGAACGCUGGCGGCAGGCUUAACACAUGCAAGUCGAGCGGUAGCACAGGGGAGCUUGCUCCCUGGGUGACGAGCGGCGGACGGGUGAGUAAUGUCUGGGAAACUGCCUGAUGGAGGGGGAUAACUACUGGAAACGGUAGCUAAUACCGCAUAACGUCGCAAGACCAAAGAGGGGGACCUUCGGGCCUCUUGCCAUCAGAUGUGCCCAGAUGGGAUUAGCUAGUAGGUGGGGUAAUGGCUCACCUAGGCGACGAUCCCUAGCUGGUCUGAGAGGAUGACCAGCCACACUGGAACUGAGACACGGUCCAGACUCCUACGGGAGGCAGCAGUGGGGAAUAUUGCACAAUGGGCGCAAGCCUGAUGCGGCCAUGCCGCGUGUGUGAAGAAGGCCUUCGGGUUGUAAAGCACUUUCAGCGAGGAGGAAGGUGGUGAGCUUAAUACGUUCAUCAAUUGACGUUACUCGCAGAAGAAGCACCGGCUAACUCCGUG